CUAAAGGGUCCCUUUCUACUGUAAACUGGCCUCUAACUCGCUCUUCUUCCUCUCCCUUCAAAGUGCGGAGGUUCCUGAGAUUGUCUUGCUGGUGUGAGCAAGCUACUUACUUAAGGAACUCGAGCCUCUGUCUGUGUGUAGGUCUGUGCAUGUGAACCUAGGUGCCUGCGGAGUCUAGAAGAGAAUGGCAGAUCCCCUAGAGCUGGAGCUGGAGCUGGAGUUGGAGUUGGAGUUGGAGUUGGAGUUGGAGCUGGAGCUGAAGCUGGAACUGUUAUGGACUAAACAGUUCCCUCAAGCCUCUGCAAUGUGGCCUCCCUGCCAUGACGGACUGUAACUUGGAACUGUGAUAUAAAACAAAGCCA
rnacentral:lncRNA from 1 species